GUCCGAUAGACAAGCCAACUAUAUAUCAAUUCCAAGCUGGGGUUGGUUUGUUUCGUUUCUUCCUGUUCAUGUAUAGGCAGAACGACUUCGUUUCAACUUCUGUGAAUAGGGUAAUUCCAAAGGAUGUUGCAGAUGACUAGUACGUAGAGUCCGAGCCCAUGAUUCCAGAUUAUUGUGAUUGAUUUGAUAUAGGAGUCUCUUACUGGAAAGGGUGGAGAUCCAAUGAGAUGCUGAUGGAUGUUGUAUUCGGAUGUUUCAUGUGUCUAUCUACCUUUCUGUUUGCUCCGAGGGCUCUUUUCAGCACAUUCCCUAGAUCACUUGGAUACAAAGACGACCUGCUGGCACUACUUAUUUCAAGUUACUUCAGGAUGUUUCUAUUUGCAAUACUGGUGCGGGAAUGUCCUUCUAUGACUUUGAACAUUGAUUUAUUUGUGUUAUCCUCCAACACAGUGGCACUCAAAGGUCAGAUGAUAAAUGAUAACUCGGACAGCUAUGAGUAGAUGUAUUGCAGCCUUCUUCAGUGCUCAUGUUGUAAAGUCUUUGCGAACUUUUAGAUGUUUUAUCACUUUUUGUUUGUUAUAUAUAAGACGGUGCUUCUUUGAGAACAAGUAUUUUUGUUAUGUCCUCCAAAGGCAGGGGCAGUGACUAGUAUUCAAUAUGAGUGCUGUAAAAUAUGAUGUAGUAAAGAUAUACAAUGUUCGUCCUUUAAGAAAUAGAUUUGUGAUAUAGUUGAUUGAA